rnacentral:rRNA from 1 species
AGUGAACGCUGGCGGCGUGCUUAACACAUGCAAGUCGAACGAGAACGGGUUAUAGCUUGCUAUAAUUGUCAGCUAAGUGGCGCACGGGUGAGUAAUGUAUAGGUAAUAUGCCUCUUACUAAGGGAUAACAAAUGGAAACGUUUGCUAAUACCUUAUACUCCUUAUUAACAUAAGUUAAUAAGGGAAAGAUUUAUUGGUAAGAGAUUAGCCUGUAUUGUAUCAGUUAGUUGGUGGGGUAAUGGCUUACCAAGACUAUGACACAUAACUGGUUUGAGAGGAUGAUCAGUCACACUGGAACUUGGACACGGUCCAGACUCCUACGGGAGGCAGCAGUGGGGAAUAUUGCACAAUGGACGAAAGUCUGAUGCAGCAACGCCGCGUGGAGGAUGACACAUUUCGGUGCGUAAACUCCUUUUAUAUGAGAAGAUAAUGACGGUAUUAUAUGAAUAAGCACCGGCUAACUCCGUGCCAGCCGCCGCCGAAA